CCCGCGGAAGUGACGGCGAUGGCGGCUCGCAGUUCGAUUCCGGAUUUGCUGUGAACUGCAAGCAGUUUUCAUGGUGACUGUUUGACUUUUGUUAGUUUUCAGACAUUAUUUUUCGUCAAAUAACACAGAUAAAAUAAGAGUUGUUUACUGUUUUCAAAUUUCGAAGGACGAAAGUUUUUAGUUAAUGUUCUCCAGGGUUCAAGGUGGUCACCCUACCGAGCUAGCUGCUAGCUUAGCUUGUCGGCGAGACGAGCUGCGUGGUAUAUUCUGACUAGCUAGCUAGUCGGUAGCCCACUUACUGACCAAAUUGCUAUUGGAUAGCAAACGUCGUGCAAGAGUACUUUUGUUUUAACUCUUGUUUAUAUAGUAAACAUAUUCUGCUACACAAUGUCAAUGGAUUCAAAUCUAUGAGAGUUGUGCAGCAAGCGUGCAGAGGCACUCACACGUUUGCUCGAUCUACUCUUGUUAAUUUGGACGCGUUUGGUUCGUUUUUGAGAGGUUGGGGUUGUAGUGACGGAUUCCAAUUCGACAAUUUGGACCCUAGCCUGAACCACAUUGGUAAAUUUAGCUGAGCGGGUUAACUUGAACCACCUUCGACCUCCUGUUCCUGUGUGGGUCCUUGUGUGGUCGCCGACAUGCUGAAGACCCGUCAGUGUCUACUUGGCAUCCGCACUUUCCUAGGUGUAACGUCCAGAAUGUGGGGAUUCAUCUUGUACAUUCUCAGGAAGCACCUACGCACGGUAAUCCAGUACCAGACGGUGCGGUAUGACACUUUACCACUGUCCCCCAUCUCCAGAAAUAGGCUUAAUGCAGUGAAGAGGAAGAUUUUGGUGCUGGAUCUAGAUGAGACACUGAUCCACUCUCACCACGACGGGGUCCUCAGACCCACAGUGAGACCCGGCACACCACCAGACUUCAUCCUCAAGGUAGUCAUUGACAAGCACCCUGUCAGAUUCUUUGUACAUAAAAGGCCGCACGUUGACUUCUUUUUAGAAGUGGUCAGCCAGUGGUAUGAGCUGGUAGUAUUCACGGCCAGUAUGGAGAUCUAUGGCUCGGCAGUGGCAGACAAGCUGGACAACAACAGGAACAUCCUGAAACGCAGAUACUACAGACAGCAUUGCACGUUGGAUCUAGGUAGUUAUAUUAAAGACCUGUCUGUUGUACACAAAGACCUGUCUAGUAUCGUCAUCCUGGACAACUCGCCUGGAGCUUACCGGAGUCAUCCAGGUGAGGUUAUACACACAUGCGUGCACACACACACACACUCGCACAACACAAAUGUAUGCAGACUUUGUGAUGCGAUGUUUAUGUACAGUUGAAGUUGGAAGUUUACAUACACCUUAGCCAAAUACAUUUACACUCAGUUUCACAAUUCCUGACAUUUAAUCCUCGUAAAAAAUCCCUGUUUUAGGUCAGUUAAGAUCACCACUUUAUUUUAAGAAUGUGAAAUGUCAGAAUAAUAGUUGUGAUCUUAUUUCCCAGUGGGUCAGCAGACUAUAAACACUAAAUUAGUAUUUGGUAGCAUUGCCUUUAAAUUAUUGAACUUGGGUCAAACAUUUUGGGCAGCCUUCCACAAGCUACCCACAAUAAGUUGGGUGAAUUUUGGCCCAUUCCUCCUGACAGAGCUGGUGUAACUGAGUCAGGUUUGUAGGCCUCCUUGCUCGCGCACGCCUUUUCAGUUCUGCCCACAAAUAUUCUAUAGGAUUGAGGUCAGGGCUUUGUGAUGGCCACUCCAAUACCUUGACUUUGUUGUCCUUAAGACAUUUUGUCACAACUCUGGAAGUAUGCUUGGGGUCAUUGUCCAUUUGGAAGACCCAUUUGCGACCAAGCUUUAACUUCCUGACUGAUGUCUUGAGAUGUUGCUUCAAUAUAUCCACACCAUUUUGCUUCCUCAUGAUGCCAUCUAUUUUGUGAAGUGCACCAGUCCCUCCUGCAGCAAAGCAACCCCACAACAUGAUGCUGCCACCCCCAUUCUUCACGGUUGGGAUGGUGUUCUUCUGGCUUGCAAGCCUCCUCCUUUUUCCUCCAAAAGUAAUGAUGGUCAAACAGUUAUAUUUUUGUUUCAUCAGACCAGAUGACAUUUCUCCAAAAAGUAUGAUCUUUGUCCCCAUGUGCAGUUGCAAACCGUAGUCUGGGUUUUUUAUGGCAGUUUUGGAGCAGUGGCUUCUUCCUUGCUGAGACGCCUUUCAGAUUGUUGAUAUAGGACUUGUUUUACUUUGGAUAAAGAUACUUUUGUACCUGUUUCCUCCAGCAUCUUCACAGGGUCUUUUGCUGUUGUUCUGGGAUUGAUUUGCACUUUUUGCACAAAAGUACGUUCAUCUCUAGGAGACAGGACACGUUUCUUUCCUGAGCGGUAUGACGGCUAUGUGGUCCCAUGGUGUUUAUACUUGCGUACUAUGUUUGUACAGAUCAAGCUUUUUUCUGGAAUUUUCCAAGCUGUUUAAAGGAACAGUGAACUUAGUGUAUGUAAAUGUUUGACCCACUGGAAUUGUGAUACUUUGAAAUAAUCUGUCUGAAAACAAUUGUUGGAAAAAUUACUUGUCAUGCACAAAGUAGAUAAAGUGGCAAGUCCUAACUGAUUUGCCAAAACUAUAGUUUGUUAACAAGAAAUUUGUGGAGUGGUUGAAAAACAAGUUUUAAUGACUCCAACCUAAGUGUAUGUAAACUUCCGACUUCAACUGUACAUCAUUCUAGGUCAUAUCCGCCUAGGUGAGCUUGUAAUGAUUGUUUUAAAUGUCAAGCUGUUGUCAAACCAGUUGCUGUUCGCUUGGUGGGUGUGAUUGGAAGGUUGCCAAGCAGCUCUUGCACGUUUUUAAGCGAACAAACAACACCAAUUCAAACAUUGCCGUUUUCUAUAGAAACCGUGAUUAGCCUUGUGACAGGCUUGUGAGAAUCAAGACAAUGCAAUACCUAUCAAGUCUUGGUUCAGCGACCCUAGUGACACAGCACUCCUUAACCUGCUGCCUAUGC